AUGGAAAAACUUGUUAUUCUCUUGGUUUCACUGUUCUCAUUUGAAAAUGAUGAGGGGGAGACACUCUUGACGGGAGAGAAUUUCCGUCUGAUCUAUGACACCAAGGGUCGCUUUGCUGUACAUCGUAUUACACCUGAGGAGGCCAAGUACAAGUUAUGCAAAGUGAGAAAGAUCUUUGUGGGCACAAAAGGAAUCCCUCAUCUGGUGACUCAUGAUGCCCGCACCAUCCGCUACCCCGAUCCCCUCAUCAAGGUGAAUGAUACCAUUCAGAUUGAUUUGGAGACUGGCAAGAUUACUGAUUUCAUCAAGUUCGACACUGGUAACCUGUGUAUGGUGACUGGAGGUGCUAACCUGGAAGAAUUGGUGUGAUCACCAACAGAGAGAGGCAUCCUGGAUCUUUUGACGUGGUUCACGUGAAAGAUGCCAAUGGCAACAGCUUUGCCACUCGACUUUCCAACAUUUUUGUUAUUGGCAAGGGCAACAAACCAUGGAUUUCUCUUCCCCGAGGAAAGGGUAUCCGCCUCACCAUUGCUGAAGAGAGAGAUAAAAGACUGGCGGCCAAACAGAGCAGUGGGUGAAAUGGGCCCCUGGGU